CAGCAGCCGCGGUAAUACGUAGGGUGCAAGCGUUAAUCGGAAUUACUGGGCGUAAAGCGUGCGCAGGCGGUUAUAUAAGACAGAUGUGAAAUCCCCGGGCUCAACCUGGGAACUGCAUUUGUGACUGUAUAGCUAGAGUACGGCAGAGGGGGAUGGAAUUCCGCGUGUAGCAGCGAAAUGCGUAGAUAUGCGGAGGAACACCGAUGGCGAAGGCAAUCCCCUGGGCCUGUACUGACGCUCAUGCACGAAAGCGUGGGGAGCAAACAGGAUUAGAUACCCCCGUAGUCCCUGUCUCUUAUAC
rnacentral:rRNA from 1 species